rnacentral:rRNA from 1 species
UACGUAGGUGGCAAGCGUUGUCCGGAAUUAUUGGGCGUAAAGGGCUCGUAGGCGGCUUGUCGCGUCGUCCGUGAAAACCUGCAGCUCAACUGCAGACUUGCGGUCGAUACGGGCAGGCUAGAGUUCGGUAGGGGAGACUGGAAUUCCUGGUGUAGCGGUGAAAUGCGCAGAUAUCAGGAGGAACACCGGUGGCGAAGGCGGGUCUCUGGGCCGAUACUGACGCUGAGGAGCGAAAGCGUGGGGAGCGAACAGG